CGAAGUUGGAAAACAGAGCCAAGUGACAAGCUGUGAAGCAACAGCUCAGCCUCACAGAGCAAGUGUGCUUUGUGCUAUUUCUAGUCAGAGCAAAUGUGGCCUUGGUGGACUGUAGGGAACAGUAUCUCCCAGGUAAAAAUAAGUUGCUAAGAUUCACACCAAAAUGAUGCCAAUCUUUCAUUUGCAAACAGAUCCUGAAUUGGGAGCCAUGGGAAAGAGGACUGACUCGGAAAUCAGAUUCAGCGUCCUGCCUAGCUUUCUUCCAGGUGAUCCCACCAGUCAGCAAUCUGGUCUCAGGGGAAUACAUGGCCUCCCCCUGACUUCUUUGCAUUUUCCCAGUACCUUUGAUUUUGGAAAUACUAUAAGAAUGAUGGCUGCAUUUUUCCAGUGUUGGAAAUUUCUGGUAUGUCUCAGAAGCAAGGAAUCACAGGAUAUCUACUUUUCAGUGGGAAAAAAGGAAAAACGAACUCUAUCUCUUCAUGGGCAAGUAGCAGGUUCUACAAGAGCAUGUGGGACUGAAAAUACUAAUGUAGCCAUUUUUGGAAAAUACAGCCUGGCCCAGUAA
rnacentral:lncRNA from 1 species